rnacentral:rRNA from 1 species
UAGGGAAUCUUCCGCAAUGGACGCAAGUCUGACGGAGCAACGCCGCGUGAGUGAAGAAGGAUUUCGGUUCGUAAAACUCUGUUGUUAGAGAAGAACAGCGCAUAGAGUAACUGUUAUGCGUGUGACGGUAUCUAACCAGAAAGCCACGGCUAACUACGUGCCAGCAGCCGCGGUAAUACGUAGGUGGCAAGCGUUGUCCGGAUUUAUUGGGCGUAAAGCGAGCGCAGGCGGUCAAUUAAGUCUGAUGUGAAAGCCCCCGGCUCAACCGGGGAGGGUCAUUGGAAACUGGUUGACUUGAGUGCAGAAGAGGAGAGUGGAAUUCCAUGGGUAGCGGUGAAAUGCGUAGAUAUAUGGAGGAACACCAGUGGCGAAGGCGACUCUCUGGUCUGUAACUGACGCUGAGGCUCGAAAGCGUGGGUAGCAAACAGG